UACGGGGGGGGCAAGCGUUGUUCGGAAUUACUGGGCGUAAAGGGCUCGUAGGCGGCUUUCUAAGUCAGGGGUGAAAUCCUGGAGCUCAACUCCAGAACUGCCUUUGAUACUGGAGAGCUUGAGUCCGGGAGAGGUGAGUGGAACUCCGAGUGUAGAGGUGAAAUUCGUAGAUAUUCGGAAGAACACCAGUGGCGAAGGCGGCUCACUGGCCCGGUACUGACGCUGAGGUGCGAAAGCGUGGGGAGCAA
rnacentral:rRNA from 1 species